GGGGAAUAUUGCACAAUGGAGGAAACUCUGAUGCAGCGACGCCGCGUGAGCGAUGAAGGUUUUCGAAUCGUAAAGCUCUGUCCUAAGGGACGAUAAUGACGGUACCUUAGGAGGAAGCCCCGGCUAACUACGUGCCAGCAGCCGCGGUAAUACGUAGGGGGCGAGCGUUGUCCGGAUUUAUUGGGCGUAAAGGGUGCGUAGGCGGCCUUGUAAGUCAGAUGUGAAAUCUCACGGCUUAACCGUGGUAAGCAUUUGAAACUGUGAGGCUUGAGUACAGGAGAGGAGAGUGGAAUUCCUAGUGUAGCGGUGAAAUGCGUAGAUAUUAGGAGGAAUACCAGUGGCGAAGGCGACUCUCUGGACUGUAACUGACGCUGAGGCACGAAAGCGUGGGGAGCAAAC
rnacentral:rRNA from 1 species